rnacentral:rRNA from 1 species
CCUACGGGUGGCAGCAGUAGGGAAUAUUGGGCAAUGGGGGGAACCCUGACCGAGCAAAGCCGCGUGAACGAAGAAGUUCUUCGUAAUGUAAAGUUCUUUUAAUAGGGAAGAAAGAGAAAUUUGACGUUACCUGAAGAAUAGGCUCCGACUAACGACGUGCCAGCAGCCGCUGUAAUACGAAGGGAGCGAGCGUUAUCCGGAAUACUUGGGGGAAAUGGGUACGUAGAUGGAAUAGUAAGUCUUUGGUAAAAAUGCUGGGCUAAACCCAGUAGGGCAAAAGAUACUGCGAAGCUAGAGUAUGACAGAGGUAAGUGGAACUACAGGUGUAGCGGUGAAAUGCGUAGAUAUAUGUAGGAACACCAGUGGCGAAGGCGGCCGGCUGGGUCGAUACUGACGUUGAGGCACGAAAGCGUGGGGAGCAAACAGGAUUAGAUACCCCGGUAGUC